UGCUUGACUCGGGUUUCUGAGAUCAAUAUUGACGACGUGGCCGGUCCGGGCGUCGCAGAGAACACCAGUCCAGUUGCAGCAGUCUUGUCCGGACCAAGAAGAGAGCCGACCGGAAAGAUCGGUAAGUGAUUGUUUGAAGGUGAGAAGAGCUUGUCUCUCGGUGGAUAUGCAUUUGGGAGUAGAUGCUGAUCCGGAAUCAAAACUAUUGAGAAGAAAGAUGAGAAUAAAAGAGGAGAAGAAGAAGCUUGGCUUGAGUUUGAGGUCCAUACUUGAGCUAUGUUUUGUUUGUUUGUUUGGUUUCUUUUGUCAAAACGUUUAUAUAGACGUUGAACCGCAGACGUAUUAGACCAGCAUUUUGUAUAAUACACAAACCGAUUCAUGUGCGUAUUUUUCUACGCCUAUAUCUGUAUCAGAUACGAACGCGGUUGAGACGGGUCAGAGACUGAUGGAUCUUACCCCGCAAGCAACCUCUUUUAUACUCAUCGGAGUUCACUGCUUGACUCGGGUUUCUGAGAUCAAUAUUGACGACGUGGCCGGUCCGGGCGUCGCAGAGAACACCAGUCCAGUUGCAGCAGUCUUGUCCGGACCAAGAAGAGAGCCGACCGGAAAGAUCGGUAAGUGAUUGUUUGAAGGUGAGAAGAGCUUGUCUCUCGGUGGAUAUGCAUUUGGGAGUAGAUGCUGAUCCGGAAUCAAAACUAUUGAGAAGAAAGAUGAGAAUAAAAGAGGAGAAGAAGAAGCUUGGCUUGAGUUUGAGGUCCAUACUUGAGCUAUGUUUUGUUUGUUUGUUUGGUUUCUUUUGUCAAAACGUUUAUAUAGACGUUGAACCGCAGACGUAUUAGACCAGCAUUUUGUAUAAUACACAAACCGAUUCAUGUGC
rnacentral:lncRNA from 1 species